rnacentral:rRNA from 1 species
GACUUGGUGUGGUUGUUGCUGGCCCUCUCGGGGGCAUGUGCACACCCACCAUCCUCAUCUCUCCACCUGUGCACCUCUUGUAGACCUGGAUUGACUUUCCGAGGCAACUCGGUCGGGAAGAUUGCUGCGCUCUGUGAGCCAGCUUUCUUUGCAUGUCCAGGCCUAUGUUUUUCAUAUACCCCUAUAGAAUGUAACAGAAUGUAUCAUUGGGCCUUGUGCCUAUAAACCUUAUACAACUUUCAGCAACGGAUCUCUUGGCUCUCGCAUCGAUGAAGAACGCAGCGAAAUGCGAUAAGUAAUGUGAAUUGCAGAAUUCAGUGAAUCAUCGAAUCUUUGAACGCACCUUGCGCUCCUUGGUAUUCCGAGGAGCAUGCCUGUUUGAGUGUCAUUAAAUUCUCAACCUUAUUAACUUUUGUUGAUAAUGGAUUGGAUUGUGGGGGUUUCUUUUGCUGGCUUCUUCACAGAGAUCAGCUCCCCUUAAAUGCAUUAGCUGGUGCCCCGCGUGGACCAUCUAUUGGUGUGAUAAUUAUCUACGCCGUGGAUGUCUGCAAUYAUAUGGGUUUCGCACUGCUUCUAACCGUCUGUUCAUUCGGACAAUACAUGACAAUUUGACCUCAAAUCAGGUAGGACUACCCGCUGAACUUAAGCAUAUCAAUAAGCGGAGGAAAAGAAACUAACAAGGAUUCCCCUAGUAACUGCGAGUGAAGCGGGAAAAGCUCAAUUUAAAAUCUGGCGGUCUCCGGCCGUCCGAGUUGUAAUCUAGAGAAGUGUUAUCCGCGCUGGACGUGUAC